rnacentral:rRNA from 1 species
UACGGGGGGAGCAAGCGUUGUUCGGAUUUACUGGGCGUAAAGGGCGCGUAGGCGGCCUUUCAAGUGACGGGUGAAAUCCCCCGGCUUAACCGGGGAACUGCCUGUCAGACUGGGAGGCUUGAGACCGGGAGAGGUGAGUGGAAUUCCCAGUGUAGCGGUGAAAUGCGUAGAUAUGCGGAGGAACACCGAUGGCGAAGGCAGUCCCCUGGACCUGUACUGACGCUCAUGCACGAAAGCGUGGGGAGCAAACAGG